UUCAACGACAAAGAACGAAUAUUAAAAAAAAAAAGGUGGCGAUGUUAACUUCAUCAUCACCCCCACUUAAUUGCGAAUGGUGUACAAAGAGAAACGAAUUAAAACUUUGUUAAAUAACUAUUGGAAACAUGGGCAAGUCUAACUGUUCUGCACAGUCAUCUUAUCGCUCAGCGGCGGCAGCAGCUUUCUAUGCUUUUUCGCCUCUUAAAUUUCGUUGCCUCUACCACCACCACCAUACUACAUACAAUACGUGUCACAAAAAUUAUUCACCGAGAAAGAGGGAGUACGGUGAUAUUGCCAGACGACAAGUGAGCUGUUUUUGUUGCAAAAUUUUUAUAAGUUUUUCUUUAUAAAGACUUACCCAUUAAAUCGGAGGCUAAUGCUUCCUUUUGGUCUA